rnacentral:rRNA from 1 species
AUGCCGACCAACGGUGAGGCCCCAGCAGCGGAGACGGCGGCACCGGCGGGGCCGGCGUCGCUUGGAUGGGGAUGGGGUUCAUGUCCUGCGCUGUACGUGUCCUACGGCUUGUCCGCCCUGAAAGGCCGGCAACCGGAGCUGACGGGCGCCCUGGCUGCCGUGCCGUCGUUCACGGCGCUGUCGCCGCCCAUGGGGCUCGACUACUUCGGGGUCUUCGACGGCCAUUCGGGCGCGGCCGUCGCCAAUUACCUGACGGAGCAGCUGCACGGCGCCAUCGCGGACCAGAUCUUGCGCGAGCUGGUCGCCGAGGCCCCGCGGUUCCUCCACGGGCCGCAGGGAGACGUGGAGGGGUGGUGGAGGACGGCCAUGGCGGACGCGUUCCAGACAGUGGACGCGGAGCUGCUGAAGGGAGCAGGCGGUGUGGACGCUUCGGUCGCCGGCGCGACGGCCCUCGUGGCGCUGGUCCUGGAGGAGUACGUGGUGCUCGCCAACUGCGGCGUUUCCAGGGCCGUCAUCUCCCGCGGCGGCGAGAUCUUGCAGCUCACCUCCGAGCACCGGUCAAACAGGCCUGAUGAGAAGCAGCGUGUGGAAAACGGCGGGGGACGCGUGGAUGAAUCCACCAACACAGUUGACGAGUUUCUGCCAACCUCCCGCGCAUUUGGCAUCUAUAUGUACAAGCAAUACGUGAUCGUCGAACCCGAGGUGACAGCGGUGGGUCGCGAUCCGCGGGACGAGUUCCUGAUCCUGGCCACCGCCGGGCUCUGGGACAGCGUCUCGCCGGUGGAGGCGUGCCGCGUGGUGGAGCGGAAGCUGCGCAGCAGGUCGCGGAGCGCCAUAGCGUGGGGGGCGGCGCCCGACAACAACAGGGUCUCGGCAACCAUGCUCGCCAAGGAGCUGGCCCAGCACGCGGUCCGCGCGGGCAGCACGGGCAACGUCAGCGUUAUCGUCGUCCUCUUCAGGGACGAUCCCGCUGCCACGGCCUCCCCUGCUCCGGUGUUGGCCAGCGGGCGCGUCCAGCGCCCGCGGCGUGGGUGUCGCUCGUGUGGCUCUCCGUGA